rnacentral:miRNA from 1 species
UUCAAUUUUUGGAAACAA